CCUGAUGCAGCGACGCCGCGUGAGGGAUGACGGCCUUCGGGUUGUAAACCUCUUUCAGUAGGGAAGAAGCGUAGGUGACGGUACCUGCAGAAGAAGCGCCGGCUAACUACAUGCCAGCAGCCGCGGUAAUACGUAGGGCGCAAGCGUUAUCCGGAAUUAUUGGGCGUAAAGAGCUCGUACGCGGUUUGUCGCGUCUGCCGUGAAAGUCCGGGGCUCAACUCCGGAUCUGCGGUGGGUACGGGCAGACUACAGUGAUGUAGGGGAGACUGGAAUUCCUGGUGUAGCGGUGAAAUGCGCAGAUAUCAGGAGGAACACCGAUGGCGAAGGCAGGUCUCUGGGCAUUAACUGACGCUCAGGAGCGAAAGCAUGGGGAGCGAACAGGAUUAGAUACCCUGGUAGUCCAUGCCGUAAACGUUGGGCACUAGGUGUGGGGGACAUUCCACGUUUUCCGCGCCGUAGCUAACGCAUUAAGUGCCCCGCCUGGGGAGUACGGCCGCAAGGCUAAAACUCAAAGGAAUUGACGGGGGCCCGCACAAGCGGCGGAGCAUGCGGAUUAAUUCAAUGCAACGCGAAUAACCUUACCAAGGCUUGACAUGAACCGGACACGCCUGGAAACAGGUGCCCCCACUUGUGGUCG
rnacentral:rRNA from 1 species